UGGGGAAUAUUGGACAAUGGGCGCAAGCCUGAUCCAGCCAUGCCGCGUGAGUGAUGAAGGCCCUAGGGUUGUAAAGCUCUUUCACCGGUGAAGAUAAUGACGGUAACCGGAGAAGAAGCCCCGGCUAACUUCGUGCCAGCAGCCGCGGUAAUACGAAGGGGGCUAGCGUUGUUCGGAUUUACUGGGCGUAAAGCGCACGUAGGCGGACUAUUAAGUCAGGGGUGAAAUCCCGGGGCUCAACCCCGGAACUGCCUUUGAUACUGGUAGUCUUGAGUUCGAGAGAGGUGAGUGGAAUUCCGAGUGUAGAAGUGAAAUUCGUAGAUAUUCGGAGGAACACCAGUGGCGAAGGCGGCUCACUGGCUCGAUACUGACGCUGAGGUGCGAAAGCGGGGGGAGCAAACAGG
rnacentral:rRNA from 1 species